rnacentral:rRNA from 1 species
AAUGUUGCUUGAGUCUCGUGGGAUGUGAUGACGAGGCCCAAAUACAUGGGCGGUUUGGGCUUCAGGGAUUUGGAGCUAUUUAACUUAGCCCUCCUUUCUCGGCGCAUGAUACUACCAGAACCAGAUUCUCUAAUUGCGAAAACAUUAGAAGCGGUAUACUUCCCUAACAUGCCCUUUUUGGAAGCUAAUGUUGGGUCAGACCCUUCAAAAAUUUGGCAAUCUGUCUUAGAGGGGAGAGAUGUUCUCGCCCAAGGCCUAAUAAGGAGAAUUGAAGAUGGAGCAACGACUAAAAUCUCGGGUCAUAAUUGGGUCCCUCGUGAAAGUACUAUGAAGCCAAUUACAAAUCCUUAG